UACGAAGGGUGGCAAGCGUUACUCGGAAUUACUGGGCGUAAAGCGUGCGUAGGUGGUGAGUUAAGUCUGUCGUGAAAGCCCCGGGCUCAACCUGGGAAUGGCGAUGGAAACUGGCUCGCUAGAGUGCGGUAGAGGAGAGUGGAAUUCCCGGUGUAGCAGUGAAAUGCGUAGAGAUCGGGAGGAACAUCAGUUGCGGAAGGCGGCUCUCGUGGACCAGCACUGACACUGAGGCACGAAAGCGUGGGGAGCAACAGG
rnacentral:rRNA from 1 species